CAUUCACCUGCCCGCGCCGCCUGUCCGUGCAGCCAGCUCCGCCGGGACCGGCGUUUCGGGACGGGGGAGGCGGCAGGGAGCCCCUCCGCUGCCCGGAGGAGACAAGCCCGGAACGUCUCGUCGCCCUCCCGGUGCCCACGGCCGAAGGCGGGGGUGACAGCCGGGACCGCGCCGCCGGAACCGAGCGCACGGAUGGCCGCCGGUUUUGUUCAGCGUGACGUACUGUUCCAGACCUUUGUUGUCCCAAGUGACCUGGGAAAUACUCCCUGCUUCAUGUCAUGAAGAGUAUUUUACUGGCUCCUCACUUUUGGUGCCAAAGGCAAUUGCUGUUUUUCAGGGAAAGGACUUUCCAGUGAAACAAACUGAGAAAAAAAUGACUGAGUGGUUGAUCUUCCCUCCACCCAGCAUCAGUGUUUCGUGGCUGUGUGUAGGGACCGCCAAGCAGCGUGAAGCACAGUGUAGGACAGAGGCUCCUCCGGGUGCUGGUGCUCCCACUGACAGUAAGUAUCCAGCACCGAACCAGAGCACACCAGAGGUUUACAGCCAUGUGAAUUCUGGGGAAAGAUCUUAUUAAACCCAGCGUCCAGCCUUUUUUUUGUACUGUGUUUAAUUUCCUCUUUCUCAUUCUCUUUUUCCUCUGCCCAUCCUUUGCCCGCACAUUUCUUCCAUCUCUUUCCUCCUCUCUCUUCUCCUUUUCCCUGUCCCAGUCUUUUUCCCUGUGGUCUUUCCUCUUCUAAUGUUUGCCUACCUCGGGCUGGGCCUCUCCCGCAGCCCCUGCCAGGCCGCCGGUUCCUGCCGCACUAAAUCAGUGCUCCCGGAGUCAAUGGCUCCUCUCAGGCACUCACAGGAGGUGCAAAUCCAGGGGGGCAAAUUAAGCAUAGCGACGCGCAGGCGGAGCGGCCGAGUAGCCAGAAGGCUUCAGCAGCUAAAAUCCAAGUGGGUUCAGGUUUGUUUUUUUCUUGCUUUGAUUUGCUCAGAGUUUAUGCUGAAUUCUUUGAGUAUGGCAUUUCCUAUUUGUUUUCUUCCCCUUCCCUGCUGCCCUCCCUUCAGCUCUGCUCCUGCCUGUCAGUUUUUAUAUACUCUGUACCUUGCC